UUUGUGUUAAGCUUCAAUUUAUGUUAGAUCAUUUAUUUUAAAUUGAAAGAUUGCAAAAAUGUACAUUUCUCUAUUCUAAAGACAUCAUGGAAUUUCACUGCCAUGUUUAAAAGGCUCAUAUAAACAGACUGCCAAAAUAUGACCACAUUAGAAAUAAUUGUGGGAGAAUGUUACAGACUACUGAGCCAAAAGAUGCCCAGAUUGUACAAAGGCAAGUUAUUGGUCAAGAAAGGAGACUCACACCAUCCUGAUGAGAUAAAUUACUGACUGCUCUCAGAAUCAAAAUCAAGUGAAGCCUGGACUUAAUUUUGCCCAAGGAGGAAAAGCUAAUUGUUGGUGUGGAGAAAUGCUAACGGCAAAAGAAAGUACCUCGGUCACCCUCAGCUUAGACUUGGCAGAUGAGUAUGCUUCCUUGAGUGGGAGAGAAAGACUUGACAUUAUAGCAAACAGCAUGGAAUUCCACAGAAGCCACAGCCCAUUUAUUGACAUCACUGUAUGCACUGUGAUGAGCAGUCAUAAAUGAUAUGUAGCAAUAGAUGUGGCAUACCUUUAUGGAUCACUGAAAAAGGCUACUUCAUUUUCCAACACAAAUUAUGGCAUUCACCAGCAGCCAAAGAGAUCUCACCAAGUGGAAUUUUAAACAUAGACACCAAAGAAGUUGGCAAAAGAGAAGAGAAGAAUGGCUGUGAUAACCCUUAUGCUCCUGUCGGUGUCCUGGUCUCAGGACCAGCUUGAGGGAUGGGCACUCAUCUUAGCAUUAUUAGUAACAUAAAAGAAGCCCUAGAGAGUAGUGGUUUAGGCUCACGCUCUAGAGACAGACAGACAUGGAGUUUUUGUCUGAAGGAGAUCUUCACUUAAUAGCUCUGAGAUUUUGGGCAAGGUCCUUAACUUCUCUAACCCCAAAUUUACCUUCCAUAAAAUGGAGUCAUGUCUACUUUUCAUAAGGACGUGAUGGAAGCUUUUCUUUCUCAUCUUUUUCCUGAUGGUGGCUCCUGACUGAUGGCAAGUAAAGAUAGCUGAUGUUUGAGGAAAAAACAUGAUUUUGUAUCUUAUUUUUAAUUUUACCUCUGGUAUUGUGGGCAAAAUAUUAGGCUUUGGACUCAGUGAAAAAACUCAUAUAAUAAGGUUGCAGGAUACAAAGUCCACGUAUAAAACUCAGUUUUAUUUCUGUAAAAGAGCAACAAACAACUAGAAAAUAAAAUUGAAGAAUUAUUCAUUUGUAAGAGCAUUCAAAAAACAUAAAAUACAAAUAAACUUAACAAAAGAUAUGUAAAGCUCUACACUGGGAAGUCAAAAACAUUGAUGAGAGAAUUAAAGAAGACCUAAAUAAAUGGAGAAGUAUAUAAUCAUAGAU